GGAAACCGCCUCAGUCUCGUCUCUCGCAUCGACCAAACUAACGAGCACCAUUUUAAACUGACGCCUGUUUGUUUAAAUUCUGUUUUACAUGACUUGGACGGCAAAGCUUUGACAGUUGCCAAAGUUGGAUUUACUUUUCCUUUUUUUUUCUUGCCACUUCAGACAGCCCCAGCGGUGGUAUUUACACCUAUUGUGUCUUUUAUUCUAAAACAAAUUAGCCGAUGAUGUUUUGUCUGCAUGACUAUUUUAUCGGUUUUUAUUUACAGAUCCCGCGAGCAUGGAGAGUCUGUAAAUAGUAAUAAUUAAUACAAUUACGCACGCGAGAUAUCGACUCGUCGAGGAGACAGAUUUGCUUUAAACGGUACUGAGUUUGUUUACAGAAUUAUAUGCUUUGGAGAACAACUCAACCCUGCUGCAUCAACUAUUACCCACACGAGUGUACAGCUAAAGCCUCGGCAGAUUGUUUACUUCAUCAGGAUGUUGUUGGACAUUUUGGAGACGCAGAGAUUUGAUGUAUCAGUAACGUGUGUGCAAUUAUGAAACGACCAAGGAUGUGAUAAUGACUGAAGUAGUCAAUUAACCAGUGUUGUGCAUAAAUGCAAUUUGCAGUGCUACACCGACCACAUCCAUGACAAUAAAGUUUAAAGAUAUCACAUGA